rnacentral:rRNA from 1 species
AGCUUGCUCCUUUGACGUUAGCGGCGGACGGGUGAGUAACACGUGGGUAACCUACCUAUAAGACUGGAAUAACUCCGGGAAACCGGGGCUAAUGCCGGAUAACAUUUAGAACCGCAUGGUUCUAAAGUGAAAGAUGGUUUUGCUAUCACUUAUAGAUGGACCCGCGCCGUAUUAGCUAGUUGGUAAGGUAACGGCUUACCAAGGCAACGAUACGUAGCCGACCUGAGAGGGUGAUCGGCCACACUGGAACUGAGACACGGUCCAGACUCCUACGGGAGGCAGCAGUAGGGAAUCUUCCGCAAUGGGCGAAAGCCUGACGGAGCAACGCCGCGUGAGUGAUGAAGGUCUUCGGAUCGUAAAACUCUGUUAUUAGGGAAGAACAAAUGUGUAAGUAACUAUGCACGUCUUGACGGUACCUAAUCAGAAAGCCACGGCUAACUACGUGCCAGCAGCCGCGGUAAUACGUAGGUGGCAAGCGUUAUCCGGAAUUAUUGGGCGUAAAGCGCGCGUAGGCGGUUUCUUAAGUCUGAUGUGAAAGCCCACGGCUCAACCGUGGAGGGUCAUUGGAAACUGGGAAACUUGAGUGCAGAAGAGGAAAGUGGAAUUCCAUGUGUAGCGGUGAAAUGCGCAGAGAUAUGGAGGAACACCAGUGGCGAAGGCGACUUUCUGGUCUGUAACUGACGCUGAUGUGCGAAAGCGUGGGGAUCAAACAGGAUUAGAUACCCUGGUAGUCCACGCCGUAAACGAUGAGUGCUAAGUGUUAGGGGGUUUCCGCCCCUUAGUGCUGCAGCUAACGCAUUAAGCACUCCGCCUGGGGAGUACGACCGCAAGGUUGAA